GCAGAAGACUAGAAGCUUUCAUUAGCAGCGUGUAUGUUUUUGAGGCAACUGAAACCAAUUCCUACUGUACAAAGGAUUUAUUUUUCUGUGGCUCUUGAAAUACCUGGGAAGUAGGAAUGGCCUUUGAACUUUCUCAUAUGGUCCAUACCACAAUGACUGAUAUGCCCAAGUGUGUAUAAGCCAAGGAGGUGAUACUUCCAUCAAGUAACCGAAUUUGAGACUGAGAUGCCCUCAUAGAUUUUUACCUAUCAGCCUCUAGAAGGAGAAGAGCGUCUCAGAUGGUGGAGGUCGAAUACAGGCACGUAGAAUUUGAGAAUUCAGUCCCCAGUAUGGCUGUACAGAGGGUCCAGGGAGCAGCUUGUGGUUGGAAAAUUGAGAAUGGUACUUUGGCUGCUCUGAUUUGUUUCAUCAAGCAACCUGCCCUGUUCCUGAACUUACAUGUGUAGGAAAACUGUCUUGGACAGUAAUUCUUGGAUUGUAAAGGUUUGCCUGUGCAGGCUAACAGAGUUAUAAACUUAAAGUAUCUUAGGUAAACCAUAUUACAGCCCUG